UAUACUAAAAUAAAAAUCUUACUAAAAAAUUUAAAUAAAAAUCUUAACUAAAUCCUAGUCAAAAUUUAAUCAAACCUUGCUCAAACUUUAGUCGAAUUUUAGUCAAAUCUUUAUCAAAUCUUUUUCAAAUUCUUGUCAAAUUCUAAAUAAGACCUAACCAAAUCUUAGACAAAUCCUAAUCAAAUCAUAAAAAAAUCCUAGUUUGAUCUUUAAUAAAUCAUAAUCAAAUCUUAAAUAAAUCCUAGAUAAAUUAUAAUUAAAUCUUAAUCAAACUCUAAAAAAAUACUAAUCAAAUCCUAAAUAAAUCUUAAUCAAAUCCUAAAUAAAAUUUAGUCAAAUCGUAGACAAAUUUUAAUCAAAUCCUAAAAAAAUCCUAAUCAAAUCCUUAUUAAAUUCUAAUUAAAUCCUAGUCAAAUCCUAAAUAAAUCCUAGUCAAAUCCUAAACCUAACCAAACCUUAAAUCAAAUCCAAAUCCUAAUCCUAAUCCUAAAUCAAAUCCUAAAUCAAACCAAAAUCUUAAUCUUAAUUCUAGUCAAAUCCUAAUCAAAUCCUAAUCAAUCUUAAGUAAUUCCUAUAAUAAAUUUAGACCUCAAUAACUAAUAAAUGAAUCAUCAAUAUUAACUCAAAAUUUGUACACCUCUUAAUAAUUAAGUUGACAAAAAUUAUAAAAAAAUUAAAGAAGAUUGAACUCACCAAAAAGAAGAUCGACCAUAAAAUUUGCUCAAGUGUUGGCUGUCCUCCUACUCAAAUCUGAAUGAUGAAAUUCUAGCACCAAAAUCUCCCUUUCAAAUUGUUUGAUUGUUUUUAAAUUUCAUAUAUGUGUAGCAAAUCAAGUCUACUACCUUUACAAAUAAAUUUUACUCCAAUCCAACUAGUAGAUUGUUGAAGAUCUUGAAAAUACUAACUACCUUUCAAAGUUCAAUUUUUGAAACCUCAAGCUACUUAAAAUUCA
rnacentral:lncRNA from 1 species